rnacentral:rRNA from 1 species
GAUGAACGCUGGCGGCGUGCUUAACACAUGCAAGUCGAACGGAAAGGCUCCUGCUUGCAGGGGUAUUCGAGUGGCGAACGGGUGAGUAACACGUGGGUGAUCUGCCCUGCACUUCGGGAUAAGCCUGGGAAACUGGGUCUAAUACCGGAUAGGACCACAUUUUGGAUGGUGUGGUGGAAAGUUUUUCGGUGUGGGAUGAGCUCGCGGCCUAUCAGCUUGUUGGUGGGGUAAUGGCCUACCAAGGCGUCGACGGGUAGCCGGCCUGAGAGGGUAUACGGCCACAUUGGGACUGAGAUACGGCCCAGACUCCUACGGGAGGCAGCAGUGGGGAAUAUUGCACAAUGGGCGCAAGCCUGAUGCAGCGACGCCGCGUGGGGGAUGACGGCCUUCGGGUUGUAAACUCCUUUCGCUAGGGACGAAGCGUUUUUGUGACGGUACCUGGAGAAGAAGCACCGGCUAACUACGUG